UAGGAAUCUUCCACAAUGGACGCAAGUCUGAUGGAGCAACGCCGCGUGAGUGAAGAAGGUUUUCGGACCGUAAAGCUCUGUUGUUGGUGAAGAAGGAUAGAGGUAGUAACUGGCCUUUAUUUGACGGUAAUCAACCAGAAAGUCACGGCUAACUACGUGCCAGCAGCCGCGGUAAUACGUAGGUGGCAAGCGUUGUCCGGAUUUAUUGGGCGUAAAGCGAGCGCAGGCGGAAGAAUAAGUCUGAUGUGAAAGCCCUCGGCUUAACCGAGGAAUUGCAUCGGAAACUGUUUUUCUUGAGUGCAGAAGAGGAGAGUAGAACUCCAUGUGUAGCGGUGGAAUGCGUAGAUAUAUGGAAGAAUACCAGUGGCGAAGGCGGCUCUCUGGUCUGCAACUGACGCUGAGGCUCGAAAGCAUGGGUAGCGAGCAGGAUUAGAUACCCUGGUAGUCCAUG
rnacentral:rRNA from 1 species